UACGUAGGCAGCGAGCGUUGUUCGGAGUUACUGGGCGUAAAGCGUGCGUAGGCGGUGCCAUAAGUCUGUUGUGAAAUCUCCCGGCUUAACUGGGAGGGUGCGGUGGAAACUGUGGUGCUGGAGUGUGGGAGAGGUGGGCGGAAUUCCUGGUGUAGCGGUGAAAUGCGUAGAUAUCAGGAGGAACACCUGUGGUGUAGACGGCUUACUGGACCAUGACUGACGCUGAGGCACGAAAGCGUGGGGAGCAAACAGG
rnacentral:rRNA from 1 species